UGUGAUUAUUUUUAGUUUUUUGCAUUUCUUAUUUUAGGUUUGUGAUAAAAACGAAUAUUAUUAAAUGAAACUUCAUUACUACAUUUAGUGAACCCGUUGUAUAAAAUAACAAUUUGCUCACCCGAGGCUCGCAUAGAUUACGUUUUUCUUUUCGUUAAUUGAAUUUAUUAUUUAACCUACACUCAUUCAAUAUCCUCUAUAUCAUUUUUUAACAUUUCAAUUAAUAUAUCAGUAGAAGAAUGCAGAGAGGAAGGAGUUGACAGUAAUUCCACAGUUGAAGGUAUUUAUUAGUAUGAAUAUGGUUUCUUAAGAAAUUGAGGUAUUUUCACAGUCAUGUCGCCGUUGCUUUUGCUGUCCGCAAACUAUAACAUUGAUCAUAACUUUAAAGUUGUUGGUGUAUGGACCAUGUGCAAAGUUUAAGAUGUUGAUUUGCUGACGUAGAUUUUGACCUAAUAGCCUUAUUUCUUGUCCUUUGAUAUACGGCUUUGUAAUUUGGACGACAUGCAUAGUUUUAGAGGUACAAUUAAACUUCUAUAUCAGCUCUAGCUUACCUAGAUAAUUAACUUUUGAUAUACUUUCUUGUUCUUUGAUGUAAAGUUAUUUAAAUUUGGACCACAUGUAUAGUUAUAAUUUUUUAUUGUACAUUAAUUUAGUUGUUUCUAUGAACACUUAUUCAAAAAUUUACUCGAGUUUGGAACGUCAUAUUAUGGAUUGUUAGCCAUUUUAUAAAAAUUUAUGCUAUAUACAUGUAUGCAUGACAUCAUUGAACUACUCGUUACUGGUUUUAUUAUGAUUCCAUUGGAACGAAAAAAAGAUGUUUGUAUUUGGUUCUUCUUUAUGAACCUAUUUGAAGUUAGUGUUUAAAUGAUAUAAAAAUGUUUAGAUGAAUUAACCUCAGUUUUAAUGUAUUGUCUUUUCAAGAAAUGUUCAUCUAAAAAGGGGAAAAGUAAUCUACUGUCAGCACUUUAUUCUCAUAUUAAUUGCCCUAUUCCAAUAAAGCCAUUUUUUUUAAAAUGACAUGUUAGAUUUUUUCCUAUAAAUUUGAAUUGCAUAGUCUACUCGUAUAACGUUUGUUUCAAUUAUCAAUUUACUGAAAAAAGCAUGAACAGAAAGAAGAGAAGGGGUAUUUACAGCAGUAAGUAUUUAUCUGUCUUAUGUAUUGUCAAUAAAUUAUGUUCCUAAUUAUAAUAAUCUAUGGCAAUUAAAUAUUUGAAAGCAUUAAUAUUGCAUUCUUUAGGUGAACCAGUUUUGAGAAGGAUUGUUCAUGCAAAGUUAAAAUCUAAGCAAAGCAGGAACAGCUUAUUACAUUUUUGUAACAGUUGACAAGCAGUGAUAAUGUGACAGGUCGGAAAUUUAGUGACAUGGUAUGGUAUUGGUUUUUUACCGUACAGUAGGGUAUCUAGAGUUUAGCGCAGUUUCUUUCGGAGCGCUUUUGUCAUUUUUUUCAGUUGUUGGCGGAGGUAGAUGCGUGAAGCUUUUGUCACCUUUUGCUUCUUUAAAUUCAUGGUUAUAUUUUAUUGGAAGAAGGUUUCAGUAUUCAUGCAGUUACAAACACCAGAAUGGGGAGUGUGUGAUGUAUGUUUAAGUGGAAAUACCAAGGAUCCCAUUGAUCCUGGUGAUAUGUAUAUACUCCUGUAUACACAUGCAUACUUUCUAUGAGAGCGAUGAUUAAUUAAUUGGUGAAAUGUAAAUAUAAACUGUAUGAGUGAUAAGAAUGUUAGAGUUAUCCUGUAAGGAAUAGAAAACUAUCUGAACUCUGAUGGAAUUUAUUGUCUUUAUAAUGAAAAGAUUAUUAAGAACCAGGGUUACAGAAUUCGCGACCACGACGAGACAGAAAUUUUUUUCAAGCACGAUUAUUUAAAUCAGGAUAACAUAAACCAUUUAAAGACUUGUGUAAUUUCAAGC